UUCUGUGCAUGGUACCCAGCUCCCUUUCCCACAGCGAGCUCUCCCCACAUGUUGAUCACCAACCUGAUUCUUCAGCCUUGCAAAUUUAGCAGAAGAGAAAGUUGCAGAGAGGCUCAUGGCCUCUCACUGGGAAUGGAAAUGCUGUUUCUGCUGGGAGAACAGGCAGCACAACCAGGUAUUCUUGGUGCCUUGCACAGCUCCAGAUCCUGGUCUCCUGUUUUGCACAGUUAUCAGCUUUUGGGUUUUGGAGAGGAAGAAGGAACUGGACAGCAUUUCCCAGGAGUGGUCUGCAGGCAGUAGUUACUGCAGCUGUCAGGAAACUCUCUCUCCCUUCUCCAUUGAUUUCCAUGGCUUUGAACUGCUACCACAUACCCAACCUGGCACUGAAGAGGAAAUGUCACAUUUGGAGACACAGCUGCAUUCUUCUUCUGAUGCAUCCAGAGCGACAAAUAAUCACUUUUACUUCACACACUCCAGGCUUGCUCCUUGCCAUGGAGUUAAACCCCCCC